GAACGCCCCGCAAGGGGAGUGGCAGACGGGUGAGUAACGCGUGGGAAUCUACCCAACCCUGCGGAAUAGCUCUGGGAAACUGGAAUUAAUACCGCAUACGCCCUACGGGGGAAAGAUUUAUCGGGGAUGGAUGAGCCCGCGUUGGAUUAGCUAGUUGGUGGGGUAAAGGCCUACCAAGGCGACGAUCCAUAGCUGGUCUGAGAGGAUGAUCAGCCACAUUGGGACUGAGACACGGCCCAAACUCCUACGGGAGGCAGCAGUGGGGAAUAUUGGACAAUGGGCGCAAGCCUGAUCCAGCCAUGCCGCGUGAGUGAUGAAGGCCUUAGGGUUGUAAAGCUCUUUUCACCGGU
rnacentral:rRNA from 1 species